GCAGUCUUCAGAGAAGAGCGCGAGCGAUGCGAAGCCAAGUGGGGGAGAGGGAGAUGGAGAGGAGGAAGAGGACGAGGAUGAAGGAUAUAGGUCUUGGAACCUGCGCAAGUCCAGUGCUGCUGGAUUGGAUGUACUUUCCAACGUGUUUGGUGACGAUCUCCUGCCCAUUAUGAUGCCCAUAGUGGAGCAGAUGAUGCAACAAAACGAUUGGAGGUACACGGAGAGUGCAAUAUUAGCACUGGGAG
rnacentral:ribozyme from 14 species